AUUGAACGCUGGCGGCAUGCCUUACACAUGCAAGUCGAACGGUAACGCGGGGCAACCUGGCGACGAGUGGCGAACGGGUGAGUAAUGCAUCGGAACGUGCCCAGUAGUGGGGGAUAGCCCGGCGAAAGCCGGAUUAAUACCGCAUACGACCUACGGGUGAAAGGGGGGGAUCGCAAGACCUCUCGCUAUUGGAGCGGCCGAUGUCAGAUUAGGUAGUUGGUGGGGUAAAGGCCUACCAAGCCUACGAUCUGUAGCUGGUCUGAGAGGACGACCAGCCACACUGGGACUGAGACACGGCCCAGACUCCUACGGGAGGCAGCAGUGGGGAAUUUUGGACAAUGGGCGCAAGCCUGAUCCAGCCAUGCCGCGUGCGGGAAGAAGGCCUUCGGGUUGUAAACCGCUUUUGUCGGGGAAGAAAUCUUCUGAGCUAAUACCUCGGGAGGAUGACGGUACCCGAAGAAUAAGCACCGGCUAACUACGUGCCAGCAGCCGCAGUAAUAC
rnacentral:rRNA from 1 species